rnacentral:rRNA from 1 species
CCUACGGGGGGCAGCAGUGGGGAAUAUUGCACAAUGGGGGCAACCCUGAUGCAGCGACGCCGCGUGUGUGAUGACGUAUUUCGGUAUGUAAAGCUCUAUCAGCAGGGAAGAAAAUGACGGUACCUGUUUAAGAAGCCCCGGCUAACUACGUGCCAGCAGCCGCGGUCAUACGUAGGGGGCGAGCGUUAUCCGGAUUUACUGGGUGUAAAGGGAGCGUAGACGGCAGCGCAAGUCUGGAGUGAAAUGCCCGGGCUUAACCCGGGAACUGCUCUGGAAACUGUGCAGCUAGAGUGCAGGAGAGGUAAGUGGAAUUCCUAGUGUAGCGGUGAAAUGCGUAGAUAUUAGGAGGAACACCAGUGGCGAAGGCAGCUUACUGGACUGUAACUGACGUUGAGGCUCGAAAGCGUGGGGAGCAAACAGGAUUAGAUACCCUUGUAGUC